rnacentral:lncRNA from 1 species
ACUCCUCCCAUGCACACGCACACUGACACAUGUCCACACUCACGCUCACCUCACUUUCAGCUGAGGCCACACUUCACGUUUCCGAGAGAAAGCGGGCGAGGCAGCAGGAGCUCUGAGGGAUAACUGGCUCGUCCGCUUGCCUGUGCCCCGGGGCACCUACAGAGUGGGUACGUGACUUCCGGGGUGUCUGUGAGGGCGUUUCUGGAAGAGCUUCGUGUUUGCAAUGGCGGACUGAACACAGCAGCUGGCCCCUCCCCAAGGUGGGUGGGCCUCGUCCAAUCUGUGGAAGCCGGAACAGGACAAAAAGGUGGAGGGCGUUUGGAUUCUCUCUGCCUGACCCAAGGCAGACAUCCGUUCCCUCUGGCCGUUGGUACUCCUGGUUCUCAGGGAUUCAGACUCUGACUGGCGUCCACUCCAUUGGAUCCCGGCCCUCAGGUCUUGGAACUUGCACUGCCAGCAUUCCUGGGUGUCCGGCUUGCGGACAGCAGAUCGUGGGACUUCUCAGCCUCCAGAAUUGCACGAAGUGUCUCCUUACGAAUCUCUUCCUAUGUACGUGUAUCCUAUUGGCUCUGUUUCUCUGCAGAACCCUGACUAAUGCAAACCCUCUCAUCUCACAGCAGUGCAUGUACAAACCCACUCACAUCUUCCCCUCCCCUGCCUUCCCUACCGCAAGUUCCCUCCGACCAGAGGCCAAUCCCGCUGCGGUGCCCCGGACCCACCCUCUGCACCAGCCUUCCUUCUUGUUUUCUAAAAGCUCGCGUUUUCUGUGGGCUUCCAAGGCUGCUCUUCAGUAUCUUUACGUCAGAGCCUCCCAGCUCCUUCCCCUCUCUCAAAAGCGUUUUCACAGGGACUGUAGGCUCCUUCCCUCCCCUUGAUAACCAAGUACUAUGCCCCAGGUUCUUACCUCACAGCCCAAAGUUGUCCUAAGUCGGGCCCUGACCUGAGUGUCUCCAAAUCCAGCAGGCCGUCUGCUCUCCUGUGACAUGCAGCAUCCCACGGCUUUUCCUAAAAGACCCCCUCUGUCAGCUUUGCUGUCACCCACCCUCCAGGGCUCUCUCUUACAGGUCUGCCCUUUGCUAGCAUCUUAGCCUCUCCACCUCCCGGUGGUCCUGUCUGCGAUGGACCCCCUCCAUGUGUCCCAAGGCCCUCCAAAGGAACAGCAGAGUGGGAGAGCGCCUGGUAGGACGCCAAGCACCGUGGCCGGGCUGCAGAGAGGCCUGCGGGACUUGUAGACAAGACGUCAUGGAGAAGGCGGAGCUCCCAUGGGCCUUGCAGGUUUCACCAAGCAAGAGCGGAGAAGACACAGGCUGGACAAAGGAAGGUGGACGGGACAGCCAGCCGUGCAGCAGCCUCACAGGACACAGCUACCAGACAGAGAGCACCAGCUGACACUCAUUCCUCCAGCACCAGGAAAUGCCACAGCAGAAGAGAGUCUUCAAGAUGGGCCAGACCCACUUCUGCAGCAUGGUUGCUGGGAGCCUGCACAGGCCAGGCAUUUCUCUACAGGUCAGCAGAGCUGCAGCAAGAUCCCAGGUCCUGACCCAAGGCAGUCCUGACCCAUGGUCUAUCCCCACCGGCCCUUCCCUGGAGCUGUGCCUCAGCUGGGGAGGUACUUCUGGAAGGCAGGUGGAGGAGGUAAGCCUCCUUCCCAGCCUGCAAGUCUGUGGUUUAGGUGGCCUAUACUAACUGAUACUCGUACAGGUGCAAUUGAGAACUCACUGAGGCAAAAGGGCCUUUGUCAACCCACAGAAGUGACAAGUCCAAGUGCAGACCAGGCUUCAGGUAUGGCUUGAUGGAGGCACACACGCUGUCUUUCCAGCUUCCAGUGUAGGGUGUCUGGGUGCCCUCUACUGACAAGAUGGUAGCAGGAGCCAGAGACUUUCUGUCCUCUCAGUGACAAGUUCAGAGGGAAAGCCAGGGCCCUGGCCAACAUUUCCGUGUGUCCCCUCUGUGUACCCAGUCCUCACGUCCAUCUCUGUGUGGCUGGAGGAGUGUAAUGUCCAGAGCUGCUCGGGUCUAAAUCACUCAGGCCUCACCUGCCAGGAAAGGUGUUUCCCCAGCUUCAGGGACCAGAAGUGGGGGGAAGGAUGUCCCAGGAAAAUGUAGGUGGAUGUGUCCAGCAAAGAGUAACCAGACACUGGGGCAGCAAGGACCUAGGUUCACCCCAGAAGGCUGGCUUCCACCCAACAAAGACAUCACCAUGGGAGCUAGAGACAGACCGGGAGGAGGUGAGAGGACAGAGCCCAGGGUCCUUGCACGGCCCAGGCGGAAGGGGGCACUGAGUCAACAGAAAGGAAGAAAAAGGGAGUUCAGAGGGGACAGGGCUGUGCCAGCAGACAUGUGUGGGGACCCCAGGCCGGCGAGGGGCUGGCAAGGCAGGAAGGAGGGAGGCCAUGGCCAGUGUAAGCAGGGCCAUUUCACCUCCUGGGAGCUCAGCCUGACCGCCUGUGUGUCCUGCGGAGACUCCAUGGGGAGUGGAGAUCGUGUCAUGAGUCCUUAUUCGGGCACUUCACCCACAAGUCACUCUGAUCACGUCUGUGAGUCCUUAUUUGGGGGCUGCCCCACCGCAGUCGCUCCGACCACGUCUGUGAGUCCUUAUUUGGGGGCUGCCCCACCGCAGUCGCUCCGAUCACGUCUGUGGCUGCUUCUCCCACAGGCUCCCACAGGUUCCUGUGAUUAGGUCAUUUGCCACCGGGAGAGCUUGGGUCCCUCACUGUGCACCCCCACCCCCUUGCCACUGCCUGUGGAGUGCACGGCACAGCACCCCUCGAGGGGCGUGGUGUUGAACUAAUAUGCACUUGAGGGGUCCCUGACCACGGGAGGAGGGAGGGAGGGACGGGCAGGCAGACAUCAACAGCCGCCAGUGGCUCCCAGGCUCUCAUCUGAGACAGGACAGGGAGGUAGGGCGAGCCUGGAAUGAACGCUGGGUGGAAAUGCCCGGGGAACCACAGGGAGCAAGACGUGGACUCCAGGAAGAUGGUGCUCUGGUGGGUGGGAGUAUGGAGGGCAGAGGGCAGGGUGGCCAGGGUGGACCCUCUCCAUCAAGGGUCGCUGCAGGGAGGCAGGGCGAAGACGGGACGGGGAGAUGGUGGGUAUGGAGGGACAAGGGCAGAGAACUGGGCAGCCUAGGGCAGGCUCACCCUCAGACAGGCUGGCAGAAAGGGGUUGCCAGGCUGGCAGAAGAGGGGUCACCAGCAAAGCAGGAGUGGGCAGAGGCAAGAGGCACAGAAGGCAGAGGCCGUUCUGCCGCAGUGCAGCAUCCGAUCAGCGGCUGGUCAGCAGCUGGAGGCUACUCUCCUCUACUCCACAGGUCCAGUUGCUCUUCAGAACUCAAAAUCCCAUCUCUGCAGGUCUCAGCCAAUCCUGCUCCCGCCUGUUUUUAUUUCCUGCCCAGAGCAAGUACAGAACCGAGGGCCAUCGAUGGGCGAGAAAUCACUGUGCCUCCAAGCUGUAUUUUUCACCGUAACAAGUCAUUACUUCUGUGCCCGGAGUCAUUUCUCAGGAUCUUAAUGCAUUCGUUUAUCAAUCAAUACUUAACUGAUGUCUAUAAAGCAUGUUCAAAAUCAGAGGUGAGAGCAGCUCACCAGGUACCGACUUCGUGUCUGGAGCCACCUUGUUAAGGAGCAACCCUUGGCACGGGUCCCGUGUCUGCACCCUCGGGAGCUCUGGGUGGGUGCACUGGGGUCCUCACAGCCCUUCCCACCACCGCAGAUGGAAAUCUCUACCUGGCAGAGGGGCUCAGUCGUCCCCACCUGGGAGUCUGGGGCCUACCGGCAGCAGAAGGUGCAGUGGCCAAACACAGAGACAUUUCUAUCAUCAGACCUGGUCCCCAGCCUGACUCUGCUGCCCACUUACCCCUGGCCAGGGCGAGUUCAUCGACUGUGCCGAGCCUGGCUGCUUCUCCAGCCUAACAGGAGUCCCCGUCUCGACAGGACUGAGUGGGGUGAAUGCAGCCAAGUGCUCAGCAGAGACUGUCCCACCGGGAAGUGUUCACAAAUAUGGGCUGUUGAACCUGCUGUUGUUAGAUCUAGAUCCAGUUCUGCGACCACGUUCAUGACUUAGAUCAUAACUGAAGUGCGGGCCAGCCGAGGCCGGGCCGUUUAGGGGUUUGGCUGCUAAUUCAAGAAGGACACCUGGGUUUGGAUCCCAGAGUUCCCUCCAGACCCAGAUGUGGCCUCAGGCAGGUGAUGAGCCUGGAGAUGCGGUUUCAUUUUCUGCAGGGUGGUCAAAGGAGAUCUCAGGCUUGUAGGAGACAAAGCACAUCGCCCCGAACUGCUCAGGAGGCGCAGAUUACAGCCACCCUCCUUAUCCACCCCGUCUCCCAUCACAGCCCUCAUGAGUGCUCAAGCAAGGCUCAGGGCCUGAUGGACGUGGCUGCCUCCUCCUAGAGGACAGGCAUGUCUCGGCUGCCUGCACCAGCCAGCGGCCCUUCUCCCCGGCCAGGAGAUCCUCCAAGGAAGGCCAAGGGCCAAGCAGGUAGGCUAGGGAUGGGCUCUGGUACAUGGGCCCCAUUCCCAUGAUUGGAAACUUCCCAGGCGCCAUUUGUCACCUUGACUCGCUGUUUCAAGCCCGGCUCUCCCUGGGGCGCCAGGAGUGGGCCCAGGCCCUUCCGACAGCCGGCCUGCAGCUGUGCUGGUGACUGAUUGGGGAUGAGGCCACUGUCCCUGCCUUCCUGGGAGCCAGGAUGUUGAUUGAAUGGCCAUUUCACUCUCUCCAACAAGCAAGUAACAGUGUAAACUGGGGUCUAAUUUAUCAAAAACAGUCGCUUGUAUUCUGCGUGGCCCAUGUUCUGGGCUGAAACAGCCGCUACCCAGCUCCUGGCCCACGUGCGUGCGAUUUCCUGAUAUUUCAGUUUUAUGGAAGACAUCUCACUGACGAAUGUCUCUUAGUGAACGAUCAUUCUGGAAGCUAUUUUGCCUUCAAAGAGGCUUCUCCUGGAAUGGGCUGGGAGGGGCGGGCACCGUGUUAUAUAUAAAUUCACUGCCAGGAGCGCCCAGCAGGGGAGGGAAUGAGAUCGGCAGGAGAUGAGAAUGAAAUGUGUGCGGCUGCAGCCAAGCCUGUCCUCCCUGUCACCGUCCGAGGGCUGCUGGGAUGGGCGGGAAGGCCAGAUGUGGGACAGGUGGCCCAAGUGACGCCCCCAGCUUCACCACCUGCCACUGCCUGGCCUUGGGCAGCUCACUCCCUCUGGGAGCCUGGGCUUCUCACGGGGCAUAAUGAUUUACAAAUUGCUGCCACUUCUCUGCUUGCUCUCGACCAUCAUUACACGUCAGGCAGGGCUGGGACUGGAGGCUGAGCUGUGUCCCAGCUACGGGUGACCGUGCCAGAGCUGCCAGGGAUCCUGAGGCACAAUGAGAGCCUUCCUUCCACCCACCGUGCGCUUUCUGCCUGUGAUGUGGCCGAGACAUCGCAGGCUGUGGGGUCCUCAGCGCUCAGGCUCCCUGUACUCUCUCUCCCUGCAUACCUGGACCUCCGUUCUCUCUUGCUGGAGGCCUAGAAAAAGUCCCUGGAAUGAAAUCACUCAGGCUCUGGUGCAGACACUGGCACCGCCUGUCCAGGGGGCCCCGGAUAAGUCCCUCCCACUCUCUGGACUCAGGGGCCAUGUCUGCAAAUGAGGCUGGAAAACGAGAUGGUCCCUACAAGGCCCUCUGGUACCUGGAGGGACUGAGUGUCCCAGCCUGGGCCCUGCAGCAGCCCUUCCAUAUCAUGCAUGCAAGGGACUCUGAAUCCCAACCCCACCAUUAGAAGGGCCGCUGUCAGCCAAGAACAGGAUCGUCAUCCCCUCCGUCCCCUGCACAACGGAGCAUAGCUGCCCCUUUCUACCAUCUUUGUUCUAGGUUGAGGUUCUCAAAGGGGAGUCCCAGGCCAGCAGCAUCAGUCCCACCUUGUAGUGUGCUAGAAAUGCAGAUUCUCAGGCCCCUCUGCGGUCUAUAGAAUUCAGAAGUCAGGUGCUGGGGCCCAGGAAUCUACUUUAACAGGCUGCAUUUUCUGCAGCUGCUGGAGCAGAUGACCACAAACUCAGUGACUGCAGAGUGCACGCGCUCAUCACCUUACAGUUGUGUAGGCUGGGAUCCCACUGGGCUAAGACCAAGGUGUUGGGAGGCUGCGUUUCUUGCUGGAUGCUGUAAGGGAGAAGUCGUUUCCUCGUGUUUUUUUAACUUCCUUGGCCCACGGACCUUCCUCCACCUUCAAAGCCAGCAGCCUCGCGUCUUCUGACCUUCCAUUGUCACAUCGUCAUCUGACCCACGUAAGGACCCGUGUGAUUAGGGUGGGCGCACCCGGGUAAUCUUCCCAUCUCAAAGUCCUUGACUGAAUCACAUCUGCAAAGUCCCCUUUGCUACGUAAGGUCACAUGUUCACAAGAUCCAGGGAUUAGGACUUGGACAUUUUUGGAAGCCCAUUGUCCUGCCAACAGCACAAGACCUCCAGGUGAUCCUGAUGUGUAACGCACAGUGAGAGACAAAUGCUCUGAUGGACCAUCAACAGCAGAACGUAAGCAGGGAGAGGGACCCCGCCUUCCUCCCCAAUCUGGCCCUGUGCCUAGCAAAUUAUAGAACUUUUGUAAGCAAAUGAGUUCAUUUGUGAAUAAAUGAACGACCGGUGAGACGAAGAGCUGGGCGUAGCAGCCACAGGUGGGGCUGCCAAAUAAAAUGCAAGAUGCGUGGUUAAAUCUGAAUUUCAGAUAAAUAACAAGUACUUAUGUUUUUGGGGGUUUUUUUGUUUUUUUGUUUUUUUUUUGAGAUGGAGUCUCGUUCUGUCGCCCAGGCUGGAGUGCAGUGGUGUGAUCUUGCCUCACUGCAAGCUCCACCUCCCGGGUUCAAGUGAUUCUCCUGCCUCAGCCUCCUGAGUAGCUGGGAUUACAGGCAUGUGCCACCAUGCCUGGCUAAUUUUUGUAUUUUUAAUAGAGACGGGGUUUCACCAUGUUGGUCAGGCUUGUCUUGAACUCUUGACCUCAGGUGAUCCACCCGCCUCGGCCUCCCAAAGUGCUGGGAUUACAGGCAUGAGCCACCACACCUGGUAACAAGUAGUUUUUUACUACCAGUGUGCCUCUAACAAUAUUUGAGAUAUACUAAAAAAAAAAGUUGUUUUUUAUCUGAAAUUCAAAUUUAGCUGAUAUCCUGUAUUUUUCUUUGUCAAAUGUGGCUUCUCUAAGCAUCAGUCCAGCCAUGGCCCAGGUGGUGAACCUGGAAAUUCAUUCCUCCCUCCAGAACUCUGUUUCCCUGCUCAGUGUUCUAGAAAGCAUCCCCUUCUCUGGCAAACCCUGUCCAAUCUCUCAGGGAAGAUGAGGCCUCCUUCCUCUUCCUGUCCUCCGUUAAUCGAUAUUCCCACCCCAACCCCUCCUAGAAUUUGGUGAUCUGGGGUCUGAAGUCUUCUACCAGGAGCUCAAGCUGAUGGGCUGAGAAGCCCAGUUCUGACGUGAAUUCUGCACCCCUCCUUCGGGAACAAGGAAGACCCAAGCUUGCUUAUCUCUAGAUCCUGCGGGGGGCUUUUGAGAAUCCCUAGUUUUGAGGCUGUGGGAUGGAGCUGCAUGGGAGAGCCAGGAGGAAGACCCUGGCACAGCACGCUCUGAGUAUGGGGUUGCUGCUGGCCCACCCUGUUCCCUCCACACUCUGGAGGAUGUGGAGUGGACGCCAUCAGGGUGCAGCCAUGCAGAACGGCUGGGUCUGUCCCUGUGUCCUCACGCACAGAGCUCUGGAAGGCAGGCAGACGUCCUCACACAUCUGUGAGCCAAAAGGCAAAAAACAAAAGAAGCAAACAAAAAAAUCCACUCCGAUGUUCUUAUGCUUAUGGGUUCUACAGACUUGCAUAUACAUAAUGUAAUGAAAAUUCUUGAUUUCAUCUUCAGAGACAUAAAUGGAAGAAAAUGUACAUAAAAGAGAGUCCACUUAAACAUGUGAUCCUCUCAAAGGAAGAAAAGAACAGGGCUCACUCAUCCACAUCAACCCGGUGAGGCCCGGACACCCCCCACCUCUUCUGCUUAGAGCCCUAUUAUCCUUUGAUCUCCCUAAUAAUGUGUUUCUUUCCUGGUAAUAGGUUUUCAUCAUCCUCACAGCCUAUUGAUUAGAACUCUUUUCCAGGGUUUUGAGAUAUUGGCUAAAAUAAGGGAUGAAAUGAUUCAGUCUUCAGGUGAUGUUUCAAAGGAGGCGUGUUCGUAAUGUCCUCCCGCGACGAGGGACCUGGCCAAGAGAAACUACGCAGGAGGCCCAGAAGGCAGAGCCUGCUCCAGGUCGGCCUCACUGCUGUCCCUUCUGACCUCUCGACAUUUUGGUUUUGGCAUGGUGAAUGGGGCUACCACAGUGGGCCAGCCAGCAUGACCCCCUGACCAGACCUGGAGGCAGGCAGAGGAAAGGAGAGGGCCAGGGAUGGGUGGGUGGCCGGGUGUGUGCCGUUUGCUGAAGUUGAGGCACUGUGGUUCCUGGAAUCCUCAGCCCAGGGACUUCUAAGACACAUCUCUAAGACACAAACAAGAUCUACACCUCUAAGAGGGAAGGAAUGACCGGCCCAUCGCAGGCUGUCUUCGACUGUUGGGGCUCCCAUGACAAAAUGCCAUAGACUUAGGGGCCGAUGAACAACAGCCAUUGGUUUCCCACAGUUCUGGAGGCUAGAAGUCCAAGAGCAAGGCUCCAGCAGAACGUCUGGUGAGGGCCGCUUCCUGAUUCAUAGACGGCACCUCUUUGCUGUGUCCCCGCCUGGUAGAGGGCUGAGGGAUCUCCCUCAGAACUCUUUUAAAAGGGCACUCUCCUCAUUCACCAGUGUUCCACCCUCAGGACCUAAUCACCUCCCAAGGGCCCCACCUUUUAAUACUAUUUAAUACCAUUGCAUUAAGGAUUAGGUUUCAACAUGUGAAACUGCAGGACACACACACUCAGCCCAUAGCAGAUGCCCUGAAGGGGCUGUGAAGUGUCGUGAGUAGAGCCCCAGGAAUGGAGGGUUCUGGAGGGGCACAUAGGUCCAACAGAGCGCAGGCAUAAGGUGGGAAGCCAGAGGGGGCUGUGUGGGCCGGACUGGGUCAAAUCAGGAGGCCUGGAGAUGCCUGGUGAGGAGCCCCGGUCCCACGAUGUAGGGGGCCUGUCGGCACAGGAGUGUAGGCCACGGGCUUGUGGGCAGCCUCCCUCAGGAGGGUGUGGGGCUGAUGAGCAGGUGUGGGCGCAGGUGCAUGCAUCAGGACGUGUCCCCUGCGGAAGCAGCUCCUGUAGGAUCACCUCCUCCACCAGCGACCAGGAAGGACAUUGCAUUUAGACUCUAGGUGAGUCCAGCUUCACUCAUCGCCAGCUGAGGCCUCAUUUUCUCAUCUCUAAGACAUAAACAACCACCCCCUCUUCCCAGGAACACACACACACACGCGCGCGCACACACGUGGUUCUGCGGCUCAUAACUAAAUGUAAUGAAAGGUAAACUAAAGUGCCCCUCCAUGGAAAUCGACCCCAAUUCAGCCUCUAAUCCUGAGAUGCAAGAUUCAGAACCAGUAUGUCAAGGAAAAGUGUUUCUCUGCAUUGAUCCUCGAGGAUACUAAAUGUAUAUUUUAAAAAAUAAAUUCUGUCCCAAGUGUUUGGUGAGACAGAGAGAGAAGCAGCCGCUUCUGAAGUGAGCACAAGGACGUGGCUUUUCUGGAGGCUUCCUCAUUGCAGGACCCAUCCAUCACCUUCAGGGGUUCGAUGAAACCGUUGCAAAUAUGAUCAAUCAUCUUUUUAUUGAAUUAAGACAAAUGGCUGGUUAUUAAUAGGCUAAGACUUAAUGAGGAAAAUGGAUAAUGCCGCACAGGGAAAAGGCAAAGAACUGUGCACACAGCCUCUGCACUUUUUCUAGAAAGAUCUGGAAGUGUCUUCAGUGAGAAAAGCCCCGGGCUGGAUGACCUCUUUGAUUCACACUAAGGACUCAAGGAAGCAAAAACUCCUAGGUUGACCCUUUCUCCACCACCUUCUAUCUGUGUGAUCUUCAGGCAGUGACUUGACCUCUCUGAACUUCUGUCUCUUCACAAAGGUGCUUGGCUUAUGAUGUUGUGCCUGGCAGACGCAGACUGAGAGAAGCAGAGUCCUGGCCUCCAAAAUCUGAGUUGUGUGUGGGACAGAAUGGUGUGCUUCACCUGCGGUUCUGAGGGGGCCGGCGGGAUCAGAUGCUGGCACAGGACAUGGGAAGGGGGUGCGUGUGGGGCAGAGCCGUGCAGCAGGUGCACAGCUGUGCAAGGUCCCCUGAUGGGCCCUCUCUGCUCCAUGUUUCCAGAAAUCCUUGGAAAGGAGCUCAAGUGGCACAGUAUCUGGAGCGUGUUGUGGACUUGGUUGGGAUGCCUGGUGUCUGUUUAUGGCAGCACUUCUGGGGAAACAGAUUGUGUUUAUGUCAGAAAGAAAAGACCAUGUUUCGGGGCAAUCCCUGCAGCUCGUUAGGUCAAAUCAACACCCCCAGCCCAUCUGCCUCCGCAGGGUGCCUCGGCCCCACUCAGUGCCGGCAGACAGGAGCCUCCCAGGGAGCAGCCGAGCUCCAGGGCGGGGGAGCCACCACCGAGCACAAUAGCCAAUCAGCCCCUUCCUAGAAGCAAGUCAGGCUGCCCGGCGUGCUUUCUGUCUGUCGUUCCUGCAGCCUCCACGGGCACCGGCCCAGGUGGUCCCUGGCUGGAUGGUCAGAACUCAGAGCUGUGAGCUGUGGCUGCUGAUUCCCUCCUGAACAACAGGGUCUAGGGAGACAGGCAGACACAGAAACCUCAAGUGAAGUGGGGGCUGCGGGCUGGGGGUGCUGCACGGGGCAGUCAGGGGCACAGCAAAGAGGACGUGACCUCAGGUCCUCGGCAGCAGGGAGGGAAGGCAUGGAGUACAUGCUUUCCUCUGGGAAACACUCAUAUCCGAUUCACAUGAUAUUGUCCGCAGUGCUGAGCCUGGCAGACCUACAUCUUCAUCUUUUUGGUGCGUUAAUGAGGAUUUUUAUUUCUUCUUUAAUGAUUAAUUCCUAAAAUUAUAAUACUUAUGUGAAUAGUACCAAUGCUUAAUAUUUUUGAUAAAAAUUUAAAAAUUGAGCUCCAAAAGGGAUUCACCAAUUAAUAUUUCCAUCAUCAUUAUGCAGAAGUUGCUAUUUACUCACAUCCUUAAUUAUAGAGGAAAGUAUCAAUGAAUGUUUACCAAUUUAAUGACUCAAAUAUUUUCAUAUCUAUAUUUCUCCAUUAUUAGUGACAUUGUGCACUUUUACUUAUGUGUAUUGACGAUUUGUACUUUUACUCUGUGAAUUUCUUUUUCUCUUCUUUUUUUCAACUUUUAUUUUAGAAUUGGAGAGUACAUGUGCAGGUUUGUUAUGAAGUUAUAUUGCGUGAUGCUGAGGUUUGGAGCAUGAGUGAAUCUGUUACCCAGGUACUGAGCAUAGUACCCAAUAGGUAGUUUUCUUUCUACCUUGCCCCCAGGAGUCCCCAGUAUCUAUUUUUCCCAUCUUUGUGUCCAUCUGUACCUAAUGUUUAUCUCCCACUUACAAGUGAGAAAACGUGGUAUUUGGUUUUCUGUUCCUGCAUUAAUUUGCUUAGGAUAAAAGUUUCUAGCUGCAUCCAUGUUGCUGUGAAGGACAUGGUUCCAUUCUUUUUCAUGGCUGUGUAGUAUUCCACGGUGUCUGUGGGUUUUUUUUAAAGGUUGUUUUUGAAGAAUACUUGACAACAUGGAGAAAUUCUCAAUGCGUGAAAAAAAAGUAAAAGGAAAGUAAAAGGGAACAGAAGUAUAUAUAAAGCAUGUUCCAAUAUUGUCCAAAAAUAUUAUUAUUGAUUAUCUGGGAGAAGUUUAUGGGUAUUUAUGCUUUUUUCCAUCUUUGAAAAAUACUCUGAGAAUAUGCAUUAGUUUUAUGAGGAAAGUGCAUGUUAUAAAGCCUAAAGAUGAAUUGUGUCUCCCCACAAAAGAUAGGUUGAGGGACUCAGCCUGUGGCCUGAUUUGGAAGCAGGGUCACUACAGAUGGAAUUAGUUGAGGUGAGGUCGUCCUGGAGUAGGUGAACUCCAAUCCAAGAUGACUCAUGUUUUUGCCAG